rnacentral:rRNA from 1 species
AGCUCUGUAAGCGUAUACCAAAGUUGUUGCAGUUAAAACGCUCGUAGUCGGACCUUGGCGGGCGACCAGGGGCGUCUUCACGGACGUGUUUUGGUUGGCCGCCUUUGUGGAGGGGGGCCCAGUGGUGCUUCACUGCGCUACUGUGGUCGCUGCCACCUUUUACUGUGAAAAAAUUAGAGUGUUCAAAGCGGGCGUUUGCCAUGAAUACAUUAGCAUGGAAUAAUAGAAUAGGACCUGUUUCCUGUUUUGUUGGUUUGUGAGGAUCGGGUAAUGAUUAAGAGGGACGGUUGGGGGCAUUUGUAUUCCGGCGUCAGAGGUGAAAUUCUUGGAUUGUCGGAAGACAAACGGCUGCGAAAGCGUCUGCCAAGGACGUUUUCA